CUGGCUUGACUCUAUAUGAAGAUGAGACAUACUCUGUGGGAGCUGCAAACAUUAACAUCCAGGCACACAGUUUCCUGGAGAUAAAUUGUUUUCAGCCCUUCAAAGUGUUAACAUUAGGACAGCUUUAUGCAUUCUAGGUGACUGCAGCAGACAGCCUCAGCAGGAGCUUUAAAAUUAUCAAGAGGACAGAAGCAAAU